rnacentral:rRNA from 1 species
CCUACGGGUGGCAGCAGUGAGGAAUAUUGGUCAAUGGGCGAGAGCCUGAACCAGCCAAGUCGCGUGAGGGAAGACGGUCCUAUGGAUUGUAAACCUCUUUUGUCGGGGAACAAAGCCGGGCACGCGUGCCCGGCUGCGUGUAACCGACGAAAAAGCCUCGGCUAACCCCGUGCCAGCCGCCGCGGUAAUACGGAGGAUGCGAGCGUUAUCCGGAUUUAUUGGGUUUAAAGGGUGCGUAGGCGGACCGUUAAGUCAGCGGUAAAAAUGCGGGGCUCAACCCCGGCCCGCCGUUGAAACUGGGAGUCUUGAGUGGGCGAGAAGUAUGCGGAAUGCGUGGUGUAGCGGUGAAAUGCAUAGAUAUCACGCAGAACUCCGAUUGCGAAGGCAGCAUACCGGCGCCAGACUGACGCUGAGGCACGAAAGCGUGGGGAUCGAACAGGAUUAGAUACCCCGGUAGUC